AGAUGUAAGGGUGAUCUGGCUGUGACAUCUGUCACCCAGCUGAUUGCCAGGGAUGAUUUGGCUGAUCUGGCUGGCUAGACGGGUGUCCCCUUCUGCCUCCCACUCAGUGUGCAUCCCUCCUAAAGCUGCAUGUUGUCGAAGAGGAGGACCAUUCUCCUGCAGGGUAUGUGAGUAGCCAUGCUCCCCUGCUAGAACCUACAAACAAGCUCUCAAGGUCCAUUUUUGCUUGUUAUUAUAUCCCUUGCCCCUAAAAAAAGUGCCUGACAACAAGUAAAUACUUGUUAAAUGA
rnacentral:sRNA from 1 species